rnacentral:rRNA from 1 species
GAGUUUGAUCGUGGCUCAGAUUGAACGCUGGCGGCAGGCCUAACACAUGCAAGUCGAGCGGAUGACGGGAGCAUGCUCCUUGAUUCAGCGGCGGACGGGUGAGUAAUGCCUAGGAAUCUGCCUGGUAGUGGGGGACAACGUUUCGAAAGGAACGCUAAUACCGCAUACGUCCUACGGAGAAAGCAGGGACCUUCGGCCUUGCGCUAUCAGAUGAGCCUAGGUCGGAUUAGCUAG